rnacentral:rRNA from 1 species
AUGAACGCUGGCGGCGUGCCUAAUACCUGCAAGUCGAGCGGACGGACGAGAAGCUUGCUUCUCUGAUGUUAGCGGCGGACGGGUGAGUAACACGUGGAUAACCUACCUAUAAGACUGGGAUAACUUCGGGAAACCGGAGCUAAUACCGGAUAAUAUUUUGAACCGCAUGGUUCAAAAGUGAAAGACGGUCUUGCUGUCACUUAUAGAUGGAUCCGCGCUGCAUUAGCUAGUUGGUAAGGUAACGGCUUACCAAGGCAACGAUGCAUAGCCGACCUGAGAGGGUGAUCGGCCACACUGGAACUGAGACACGGUCCAGACUCCUACGGGAGGCAGCAGUAGGGAAUCUUCCGCAAUGGGCGAAAGCCUGACGGAGCAACGCCGCGUGAGUGAUGAAGGUCUUCGGAUCGUAAAACUCUGUUAUUAGGGAAGAACAUAUGUGUAAGUAACUGUGCACAUCUUGACGGUACCUAAUCAGAAAGCCACGGCUAACUACGUG